rnacentral:rRNA from 1 species
CAGGGAACUGAAACAUCUAAGUACCUGAAGGAAGAGAAAGAAAUUCGAUUCCGUAAGUAGCGGCGAGCGAACGCGGAUUAGCCCAAACCAAUAAAGUUUUCUUUAUUGGGGUUGCGGACAUAUCAUAACGAAGAGGUAUCGUAAUUGAAGAGGUUUGGAAAGACCCACCACAGAAGGUAAUAGUCCUGUAUGUUAAACGAGAAGACUUCAGAUAUGAUCCAGAGUACCACGGGACACGUGAAACCCUGUGGGAAGCAGGAGGGACCACCCUCCAAGGCUAAAUACUACCUAGUGACCGAUAGCGUAUAGUACCGUGAGGGAAAGGUGAAAAGAACCCCGGGAGGGGAGUGAAAUAGAACCUGAAACCCUGCACUUACAAGCUGUGGAAGCACAUUUCUUGUGUGACCGCGUACUUUUUGUAGAACGGGCCAACGAGUUACGUUAAGUAGCAAGGUUAAGCACUUAAGGUGUGGAGCCGUAGCGAAAGCGAGUUUUAACUGAGCGUUCAGUUACUUGACGUAGACCCGAAACCGGGCGACCUACCCAUGAGCAGGAUGAAGCGAAAGUAAAAUUUCGUGGAGGUCCGAACCCACGAGCGUUGAAAAGCUCGGGGAUGACUUGUGGGUAGCGGUGAAAUUCCAAUCGAGCCCGGAGAUAGCUGGUUCUCCCCGAAAUAGCUUUAGGGCUAGCCUCAAGGUGAGAGAUACGGAGGUAGAGCACUGAAUGUCCUAGGGGGUAUUGCACCUACCGAAGACUAUCAAACUCCGAAUGCCGUCAUCUUAUACUUGGGAGUCAGACUGUGGGUGAUAAGAUUCAUAGUCGAAAGGGCAACAGCCCAGAUCGUCAGCUAAGGUCCCUAAAUGUAAGUUAAGUGGUAAAGGAUGUGGGAUUGCACAGACAACCAGGAUGUUGGCUUAGAAGCAGCCACUCAUUCAAAGAGUGCGUAAUAGCUCACUGGUCGAGUGAUCCUGCGCCGAAGAUUUCCGGGGCUAAAACUUACUACCGAAGCUACGGCAUCAGUAAUGAUGGGUAGGGGAGCUUCCCAUACGGGUUGAAGCAUGACCGUAAGGACAUGUGGACAGUAUGGGAGUGAGAAUGUUGGCAUGAGUAGCGAGAUGUGGGUGAGAAUCCCACAGGCCGUAAACCCAAGGUUUCCAGGGGAAGGUUCGUCCGCCCUGGGUUAGUCGGGACCUAAGCUGAGGCCGAAAGGCGUAGGUGAUGGACAACAGGUUGAUAUUCCUGUACUACCGAUAACCGUUUGAGAGAAGGGAUGACACAGUAGGAUAAGCUAAGCACACUGUUGGUUAUGUGUGCCCAAGCAUUGAGGCAGUCAAAGUAGGCAAAUCCGCUUUGAUAAUGCUGGGAUGUGAUGGGGAGCGAAAUUUAGUAGCGAAGUAGCUGAUUUCACACUGUCAAGAAAAGUCUCUAUCGAGGUUAAAGGUACCCGUACCGCAAACCGACACAGGUGGGUGAGGAGAGUAUCCUAAGGCCAGCGAGAGAACUGUUGUUAAGGAACUCGGCAAAAUGACCCCGUAACUUAGGGAUAAGGGGUGCCACCAUCAGGUGGCCGCAGAGAAUAGGCCCAAGCGACUGUUUACCAAAAACAUAGGUUUCUGCUAAGUCGCAAGACGAUGUAUAGGAGCUGACGCCUGCCCGGUGCUGGAAGGUUAAGGGGAUCUGUUAGAGCAAUCGAAGCAGUGAACUUAAGCCCCAGUAAACGGCGGCCGUAACUAUAACGGUCCUAAGGUAGCGAAAUUCCUUGUCGGGUAAGUUCCGACCCGCACGAAAGGCGUAACGAUUUGGGCACUGUCUCAACAACAGACUCGGUGAAAUUGUAAUUCCGGUGAAGAUGCCGGAUACCUGCGACAGGACGGAAAGACCCCAUGGAGCUUUACUGUAGCUUGACAUUGGGUCUUGGUACUACAUGUACAGGAUAGGUGGGAGGCUUUGAAACCAGGACGCCAGUUUUGGCGGAGCCAUCCUUGGGAUACCACCCUUGUAGUACUGGGACUCUAACCAUAGGCCAUGAAUCUGGUCUUGGGACACUGUCAGGUGGGCAGUUUGACUGGGGCGGUCGCCUCCCAAAAGGUAACGGAGGCGCUCAAAGGUUCUCUCAGUACGGUCGGAAAUCGUACGUAGAGUGUAAAGGCAAAAGAGAGCUUGAUUGCAAGACAUACAGGUCGAGCAAGGAUGAAAAUCGGACUUAGUGAUCCGGUGGUUCUGCGUGGAAGGGCCAUCGCUCAACGGAUAAAAGCUACCCUGGGGAUAACAGGCUUAUCUCCCCCAAGAGUCCACAUCGACGGGGAGGUUUGGCACCUCGAUGUCGGCUCAUCACAUCCUGGGGCUGUAGUAGGUCCCAAGGGUUGGGCUGUUCGCCCAUUAAAGUGGUACGCGAGCUGGGUUCAGAACGUCGUGAGACAGUUCGGUCCCUAUCCGUCGCAGGCGUAGGAAAUUUGAGAAGACCUGUCCUUAGUACGAGAGGACCGGGAUGGACGUACCUCUGGUGUACCAGUUGUUCUGCCAAGGGCAUGGCUGGGUAGCUAUGUACGGAAUGGAUAAGCGCUGAAAGCAUCUAAGCGCGAAGCCAACUUCAAGAUAAGAUUUCCCACCGCAAGGGUAAGACCCCAGAAAGACUAUCUGGUUGAUAGGUCGAAGGUGUAAGUGCAGCAAUGUAUUUAGCUUAUCGAUACUAAUAGGUCGAGGACUUGACCAA